CCCUUAGAUGCUCUGGGCCGCACGCGCGCUACACUGGUCGAUGCAACGAGUUUCUUUCCUUGGCCGACAGGCCUGGGCAAUCUUUGAACGCUGAUCGUGAUGGGGAUAGACUUUUGCAAUUUUUGGUCUUCAACGAGGAAUUCCUAGUAAACGCAAGUCAUCAACUUGCAUUGAUUACGUCCCUGCCCUUUGUACACACCGCCCGUCGCACCUACCGAUUGAAUGGUCCGGUGAAGCCUCCGGAUUGGCGUGCACCCUCGGGUGCUGCCGAGAAGUUGGCUAAACCUUACCAUUUAGAGGAAGGUGAAGUCGUAACA
rnacentral:rRNA from 1 species